rnacentral:tRNA from 1 species
ACCCGGAUGGCUCAGUAGGUAGAGCAUAUGACUCUUGAUCUCAGGGUCUUGAGUUCGAGCCCCACGUUGGGUG